UUUCAGAGUCAACUGGAAAUUGUAAUUAUCAUUUUUGCCCCACUGUAAUAUUGCUGAAGUUAGUCAGUGACUGAACCAGAGUCUAAGGAAACGUAAGAAUGUAUUGGUUUCCUUCUUUAGCAACCUGGCCGUGACCAUAAGGCGUAUGUCUUUUCAAAGGGCGUCAAACUCGGGAAACUGCACGUAAGAGGCACUGUUUACCGUUCAACUGGCCGAACUCGUAGGGGGUAAUACCGCCACCGCACCACUUCUCAUUCAAACUCUGUUAACCGGCUCCAGGAAAACGAGCGGCGGACUCUCAGGAAUGGACUUGCAGUAUUAUGACCCGGGGGGCGGGUUGCAUUCAUCGGGCAUUUUCAACUAGGUAACUUAAGCCAGGAAGCAAGAAUGUCCACUAGGAGAAUGGAUAAGGGCAAUUCUAGACUUUCUUUCUAAACUUUAGUGAGUUUAUGAAUAUCCACCCGUUUGUCCAUGAAUGAAUGAAUAAAUGAACGAAUGAAUUCA